UACGUAGGGGGCGAGCGUUUGUCCGGAAUCAUUGGGCGUAAAGCGCGUGUAGGCGGCUUGGUAAGUCCGGUGUGAAACCUUGGGGCUCAACCCCAAGCCUGCACUGGAUACUGCCUCGCUUGAGUCCGGGAGGGGAGAGCGGAAUCCUAGUGUAGCGGUGAAAUGCGCAGAUAUCGGGAGGAACACCAAUUGCGAAGGCAGCUCGCUGGGACGUCACUGACGCUGAGACGCGAAAGCGUGGGAGCAACAGG
rnacentral:rRNA from 1 species